rnacentral:rRNA from 1 species
AUUGAACGCUGGCGGCAGGCCUAACACAUGCAAGUCGAGCGGAUGAAGGGAGCUUGCUCCUGGAUUCAGCGGCCGACGGGUGAGUAAUGCCUAGGAAUCUGCCUGGUAGUGGGGGAUAACGUCCGGAAACGGGCGCUAAUACCGCAUACGUCCUGAGGAAGAACGUGUGGGAUCUUCGGACCUCACGCCAUCAGAUGAGCCUAGGUCGGAUUAGCUAGUUGGCGGGGUAAAGGCCUACCAAGGCGACGAUCCGUAACUGGUCUGAGAGGAUGAUCAGUCACACUGGAACUGAGACACGGUCCAGACUCCUACGGGAGGCAGCAGUGGGGAAUAUUGGACAAUGGGCGAAAGCCUGAUCCAGCCAUGCCGCGUGGGUGAAGAAGGUCUUCGGAUUGUAAAGCACUUUAAGUUGGGAGGAAGGGCAGUAAGUUAAUACCUUGCUGUUUUGACGUUACCAAAAGAAUAAGCACCGGCUAACUUCGUG